GGGGUUUAAAAUUUUAUAAUUUCUAAAUUUUUGGUCUGGUCUGGUGGGAGGCUUCGGCCGUGGCUAGUUACCACCCUACUGGCAAACCGCACCGAACCGCCAAGCGAUCUAGCGUUCCGGUACGAUGCAGUGUAGAAACCUACAGAGAGUAUGGGUUUAAUACACCCUUCC